GAUGAAUUUCACUCUGUGCUCACACCCUUUUUUCUCAAUUUGAUCAGCUGUCAUAGACUCGUCGUACCAUCUCAAUGAACAUGAUAUUGUUCGUCAAAAGCUACGUGGAGUCUUGUGGCCAACGAUUUUGUAGUGCAUGCCUUUUGUUGCCUAAAAAUCUAGUUAUGCAGAAUAAUUUAUUUUAGAAUAAUCCAGUUUGCAAACAAAUUAGUUAAGUUCAUUGUAUGAUUUCAAAGCUCAGUAGUGAAUUGAUCCAUUUUUGGUGGAUACUGGAAUGUGUUUACACCAAAU
rnacentral:misc_RNA from 1 species